rnacentral:rRNA from 1 species
AUUGAACGCUGGCGGCAGGCCUAACACAUGCAAGUCGAGCGGAAACGACAUUAUUGAAUCUUCGGAGGAUUUAAUGGGCGUCGAGCGGCGGACGGGUGAGUAAUGCUUGGGAAUCUGCCUAGUCGAGGGGGACAACAGUUGGAAACGACUGCUAAUACCGCACACGACCUACGGGUGAAAGGGGGCCUCUUCUUGAAAGCUCUCGCGACUAGAUGAGCCCAAGUGGGAUUAGCUUGUUGGUGAGGUAAGAGCUCACCAAGGCGACGAUCCCUAGCUGGUCUGAGAGGAUGAUCAGCCACACUGGAACUGAGACACGGUCCAG